rnacentral:rRNA from 1 species
UACAGAGGGUGCAAGCGUUGUUCGGAAUUACUGGGCGUAAAGCGUGUGUAGGCGGUUUGGUAAGUCGGAUGUGAAAGCCCCGGGCUCAACCCGGGAAGUGCACUCGAUACUGCCAAGCUAGAGUAUCGGAGAGGUUGGUGGAAUUCUCGGUGUAGAGGUGAAAUUCGUAGAUAUCGAGAGGAACACCGGUGGCGAAGGCGGCCAACUGGACGAAUACUGACGCUGAGACUCGAAAGCGUGGGGAGCAAACAGG